rnacentral:ncRNA from 1 species
GGCGAGUUUGAUUGUGGCUUAAAUAGUUUAUGUUUAGAAAGUACUUCAUAAUAUUGUUAGAGUCUAAAUACAAGAAUUGUAUUAAGUUUAGUGGUUAUAUUUGGGGAACGUAGUAAUUUAUGGUCCAGCUUUCUAGUGUGUGAGGGUAAAUUUGAAUGCCAGCCUCCGCGGUCAUAUUCAAUUCAUAUUAAACCGAUUCGGAUAGGUUAGAAAGUGUUAUUUGAAAAGAUUAAUUGGUAGUUAAAGGUAUAAUUUAUGAUUAUCAAGUUUUAGCCUUGUGUUUUUGUUAAGCUUUUCUUAUGUAGGUGAUACGGUAAACCGGGAUUGGAUACCCCGCUAUUAUUGAUGUAAAUGAGAAUUUCUUCCUUAUUAUACAUUAGAUUGUUAAAGGGAAACGAAUAGGCGGUGUCUGAUUUAAAAAGCAGGGGAGCCUGGGCAAUAAAGGAUGAUCCACUUUAGUUAUGCCUAUUUUUAAAUAUGCCUCUGUAUGGUUGUUUACUUUAAAUUUGCGAGAUUUGGGGUAGGAAUCUUGAUUCUUUUGGGUUUCAAGAUAGAAUUCAGAUUUUCAUGGUGCUAUAAUUAGGUUGUUCUGGGCUACAGUGGUCCAUAUUUCUUUGUCCGCCAUGGGAGUGAGAAAUUGAUUGUGAAAGAAGGACUUGUAAGUAAAUUUAUUAUAUUAUGGUAGAUUGAAUAAUUUCGGAUGAGUACUAAUCGCCCGUCGCUUGCGGAGCUGAUCUGUGAUAAGUCGUAACAAAGUAGCUGUACUGGAAAGUGCAGCUAAAUUAGC